ACUCACGGGCUCCGCGGGAGGGAAAGCCGGACCAGGCGGCUCACCCGGGGCGGAGCUUCGCGGCCAGAGCGCGGCCGAGGCGAGGGGGUGCCGGACGCCAACGAGAAGGCCGCGUCCCGUCGCACCCCGCCCAUCCCUGGUGCUGGCAAGGAACGAGGCAGGGCAGGAAAGCAGGAAGAAGUCCUCACACAGGUCCCAAAGCAACAAGUGCUCGCGGCGGCUCCUCAUCAGACCGCUGGGUUGGGGCUGCAAAACGAGGCCCGGCACGGCAGCCUCCCGGCCUUCCCUCUCUCAACCCCUACCCCACCGCACUCACUCUGCCACACGACGCUCUUUAGCCCCCUCUCUGCCACCGGCGGCGCCAUCUUCCCGACACUGCGGAGCAGCAGCCACCACCUUCCACUCCCAACCUACUUUGGCCGCAAAAGCGGCGUUGGGGUGGCCCCGCCCCUUGCUGCAGGGGAAUGCCCCACCCCCUCUAGCAGACCUCGCCCUCCGGUGUCGUCACGCGCGUCAGCAAGGGAAUUUCCGCCCACUCCCGGACGGAGGCUGCGCAGUACAGGUGGAACCUCCGUGGGAAGUCGGGCGCCCCCUCGCGGGAGGCUGCUGUCGCCCGAGGUUCGACGUCCUGUGGCCUAGGAACGCGAAGUGCCAAACCGAUCGUGAGCCAAGGCCGUCUAUGAAAUUCCGAGUUCACACAUACACGAAGACUGGAGGAUCCUCCCCUUUACAGAAGAACUCUUCACUUCGCAGGGCGAUUCAUAAUAGACUUCACUCAGUAGCCAGCCCAGCUACCCAAUGGAAAAUGUACUGUCCCCAAAUGUUUAUUUCAUUCAUUUUUUCAAGGACACAGUAAUUGCGUAGAACUGUGAGGUACCCUCCAGUGUGCCAAGAACUGUGCUGGACUUUUAGGAAGCUCAAAGAAAUGAGAGAUCGACUCUUUCCCCUGAAGAAUUUGUAAUCUAAUUAAAGAGCACAAUUCCUGGAAUGCUGCAGGGUUCUCACAGUGUGCCAACUCAGGCUAGCAGCCGUCCAGGGGAUUUUCUGGAUUCAUUUCUCUCCAGAGUCCUCACAUAGCAGAUCUCCAACUGCUGUGCAGCAACUAUCAUCAUUUUACAAUUGAGGAAACUGAGGCUUAUAGAGAGUAUUCAGAAACAUUGUCAGUGAACGUCUCCUUUACAGCAGUCACUGCUGCAAGCCAGUCUCACUCUUGUUUACAUACCAGUUUUCAAGGUCACUGCUGAAGAUGAUUUGCUAGAUCCAGCAUCAUUACUUGCUAAAACUGAAAUCGAGUAUUCAGUUCCACACUGGAGGGAAGAGAUGGUGCAGGAACUGAAAGUUGUACUGCAGGUCAGCUCUGAAGAGUCACUCAAAGCCAUCACAGUAUAAUUGAAAGCUCCUUCUGCCAGUGCCCAUGAAAAAGAUGCCUUCAGAGCUCCACUAUCGAAAGAGACUUGAAUGUUGGCAGGGGCCCGAGGACCUACAUUUUUGAGAAACAAUUAAGAUUUUGUAGUAGCCUUACAAACUAAGUAAGAGUUGGCAUAACAAUGUUUCAGAGCCUGGAGGAUAAGGUACCCAAUAGUUGGAUAAUUACAAGUGUUCAAAGCAUAAAAUUGGGAUUUAGGAUGAUGCCUGGGAACUGGUAAUUCAUCUGCUAUUAUGCAAACUCAUAAUAAACUGUGUGAUCUUGACCCC